UCUCGCCUGCCACGCGGGAGGCCCGGGU
rnacentral:piRNA from 7 species